UACGUAGGGGGCAAGCGUUGUCCGGAAUCAUUGGGCGUAAAGCGCGUGUAGGCGGUCCGAUAAGUCGGUUGUGAAAGUCAAGGGCUCAACCCUUGAAUGCCGACCGAUACUGUCGGGCUAGAGUCCGGAAGAGGUGAGUGGAAUUCCUGGUGUAGCGGUGAAAUGCGCAGAUAUCAGGAGGAACACCAAUGGCGAAGGCAGCUCGCUGGGACGUUACUGACGCUGAGACGCGAAAGCGUGGGGAGCAAACAGG
rnacentral:rRNA from 1 species